AGCUGGAUAAGGUACUCUAUUGUACACGUUGUCAAAAUGAGCACCUUAUCCAUAGAG
ensembl:miRNA mdo-mir-7386b mdo-mir-7386b